rnacentral:lncRNA from 1 species
UAAUUUAAGAUCGCAGAAAAAUUACAUUUACACGCGGUUAAGAUUAGGGGUGGCAAUCCAGUUCGUUGUUCCGGAGUCAGCUUGUGUCCGGCUCGAAAUGAGCUCGAGGUCGUAUUACUCGGUUACUAAAUGAGCCGAACACGAACUGAAUUUUUUCGCUCGAUGCUUUAAUGAGUCAGCUUGUUUAUGAAAUGAGUCGAA